rnacentral:rRNA from 1 species
GAUGAACGCUGGCGGCAGGCCUAACACAUGCAAGUCGAACGGUAACAGGAAACAGCUUGCUGUUUCGCUGACGAGUGGCGGACGGGUGAGUAAUGUCUGGGAAACUGCCUGAUGGAGGGGGAUAACUACUGGAAACGGUAGCUAAUACCGCAUAACGUCGCAAGACCAAAGAGGGGGACCUUCGGGCCUCUUGCCAUCGGAUGUGCCCAGAUGGGAUUAGCUAGUAGGUGGGGUAACGGCUCACCUAGGCGACGAUCCCUAGCUGGUCUGAGAGGAUGACCAGCCACACUGGAGCUGAGACACGGUCCAGACUCCUACGGGAGGCAGCAGUGGGGAAUAUUGCACAAUGGGCGCAGGCCUGAUGCAGCCAUGCCGCGUGUAUGAAGAAGGCCUUCGGGUUGUAAAGUACUUUCAGCGGGGAGGAAGGGAGUAAAGUUAAUACCUUUACUCAUUGACGUUACCCGCAGAAGAAGCACCGGCUAACUCCGUG